GAUGAACGCUGGCGGCGUGCCUAAUACAUGCAAGUCGAGCGAACGGACGAGAAGCUUGCUUCUCUGAUGUUAGCGGCGGACGGGUGAGUAACACGUGGAUAACCUACCUAUAAGACUGGGAUAACUUCGGGAAACCGUAUCUAAUACCGGAUAAUAUUUUGAACCGCAUGGUUCAAAAGUGAAAGACGGUCUUGCUGUCACUUAUAGCUGGAUCCGCGCUGCAUUAGCUAGUUGGUAAGGUAACGGCUUACCAAGGCAACGAUGCAUAGCCGACCUGAGAGGGUGAUCGGCCACACGGGAACUGAGACACGGUCCAGACUCCUACGGGAGGCAGCAGUAGGGAAUCUUACGCAAUGGGCGAAAGCCUGACGGAGCAACGCCGCGUGAGUGAUGAAGGUCUUCGGAUCGUAAAACUCUGUUAUUAGGGAAGAACAGAUGUGUAAGUAACUGUGCACAUCUUGACGGUACCUAAUCAGAAAGCCACGGCUAACUACGUG
rnacentral:rRNA from 1 species